rnacentral:rRNA from 1 species
GACGAACGCUGGCGGCGUGCUUAACACAUGCAAGUCGAACGGAAAGGCCCUGCUUUUGUGUGGUGCUCGAGUGGCGAACGGGUGAGUAACACGUGAGUAACCUGCCCUUGACUUUGGGAUAACUUCAGGAAACUGGGGCUAAUACCGGAUAGGAGCUCUUGCUGCAUGGUGUGGGUUGGUAAGUUUCGGCGGUUGGGGAUGGACUCGCGGCUUAUCAGCUUGUUGGUGGGGUAGUGGCUUACCAAGGCUUUGACGGGUAGCCGGCCUGAGAGGGUGACCGGCCACAUUGGGACUGAGAUACGGCCCAGACUCCUACGGGAGGCAGCAGUGGGGAAUAUUGCACAAUGGGCGGAAGCCUGAUGCAGCAACGCCGCGUGCGGGAUGACGGCCUACGGGUUGUAAACCGCUUUCGCAUGUGACGAAGCGUGAGUGACGGUAAUGGGUAAAGAAGCACCGGCUAACUACGUG